AUUGAACGCUGGCGGCAGGCCUAACACAUGCAAGUCGAGCGGAGGAAGGGAGCUUGCUCCUGGAUUCAGCGGCGGACGGGUGAGUAAUGCCUAGGAAUCUGCCUGGUAGGGGGGGAUAACGUCCGGAAACGGGCGCUAAUACCGCAUACGUCCUGCGGGAGAAAGUGGGGGAUCUUCGGACCUCACGCUAUCAGAUGAGCCUAGGUCGGAUUAGCUAGUUGGUGGGGUAAAGGCCUACCAAGGCGACGAUCCGUAACUGGUCUGAGAGGAUGAUCAGUCACACUGGAACUGAGACACGGUCCAGACUCCUACGGGAGGCAGCAGUGGGGAAUAUUGGACAAUGGGCGAAAGCCUGAUCCAGCCAUGCCGCGUGUGUGAAGAAGGUCUUCGGAUUGUAAAGCACUUUAAGUUGGGAGGAAGGGCAGUAAGUUAAUACCUUGCUGUUUUGACGUUACCAACAGAAUAAGCACCGGCUAACUUCGUG
rnacentral:rRNA from 1 species